UACGUAGGGUGCGAGCGUUAAUCGGAAUUACUGGGCGUAAAGCGUGCGCAGGCGGUUCGCCAAGUCAGGUGUGAAAUCCCCGGGCUUAACCUGGGAAUUGCGCUCGAAACCAGCGGGCUUGAGUGUGGCAGAGGGGGGUGGAAUUCCACGUGUAGCAGUGAAAUGCGUAGAGAUGUGGAGGAACACCGAUGGCGAAGGCAGCCCCCUGGGUCAACACUGACGCUCAUGCACGAAAGCGUGGGGAGCAAACAGG
rnacentral:rRNA from 1 species